rnacentral:rRNA from 1 species
GAUCAUGGCUCAGGAUUAACGCUGGCGGCGUGCCUAAUACAUGCAAGUCGAAUGGUAGCAAUACCAUGGCGAACGGGUGAGUAACACGUAGGUAACCUGUCUUUAAGACGAGGAUAACCGUUGGAAACGACGGAUAAUACUCGAUAGGUGAUUUGAGGGCAUCCUUGGAUCAUUAAAGAUUUAUCACUUAGAGAGGGGCCUGCGGCGCAUUAGCUAGAUGGCGGUGUAAUGGACCACCAUGGCGAUGAUGCGUAGCCGGACUGAGAGGUUGAACGGCCACAAUGGAACUGAGAACGGUCCAUACUCCUACGGGAGGCAGCAGUAGGGAAUUUUCGGCAAUGGGCGAAAGCCUGAACCCGAGCAACGCCGCGUGAACGAAGAAGUAUUUCGGUAUGUAAAGUUCUUUUAUCGGGGAAGAAAAUAUUCAAAUUGACGGUACCUGAUGAAUAAGCUCCGGCUAACUACGUGCCAGCAGCGGC